rnacentral:rRNA from 1 species
UACAGAGACUGCGAGCGUUAUUCGGAUUCACUGGGCGUAAAGGGUGCGCAGGCGGCCGUGUGUGUGAGGCGUGAAAGCCUGGAGCUUAACUCCAGAAUUGCACCUCAAACUACAUGGCUAGAGCAUUGGAGAGGGAUGCAGAAUUCCAGGUGUAGCGGUGAAAUGCGUAGAUAUCUGGAGGAAUACCGGUGGCGAAGGCGGCAUCCUGGACCGGCAUUGACGCUGAGGAGCGAAAAGCUAGGGGAGCAAACGGGG